rnacentral:rRNA from 1 species
AUGAACGCUAGCUACAGGCUUAACACCUGCAAGUCGCGGGGCAGCAUGGGGGUUGCUUGCAAUCCCCGAUGGCGACCGGCGCACGGGUGAGUAACGCGUAUCCAACCUGCCCUUCACCACGGGAUAACCCGGCGAAAGUCGGACUAAUACCGUAUGUUGUCCAUUGACGGCAUCCGAUUUGGACGAAAGGCUUGGCGGUGAGGGAUGGGGAUGCGUCCGAUUAGCCAGACGGCGGGGUAACGGCCCACCGUGGCUACGAUCGGUAGGGGUUCUGAGAGGAAGGUCCCCCACACUGGAACUGAGACACGGUCCAGGCUCCUACGGGAGGCAGCAGUGAGGAAUAUUGGUCAAUGGGCGUAAGCCUGAACCAGCCAAGUAGCGUGCAGGAUGACGGCCCUAUGGGUUGUAAACUGCUUUUAUGCGGGGAUAAAGUGGCCCACGUGUGGGCUUUUGCAGGUACCGCAUGAAUAAGGACCGGCUAAUUCCGUG